rnacentral:rRNA from 1 species
AUUGAACGCUGGCGGCAUGCCUUACACAUGCAAGUCGAACGGCAGCACGGGGGCAACCCUGGUGGCGAGUGGCGAACGGGUGAGUAAUACAUCGGAACGUGUCCUGUAGUGGGGGAUAGCCCGGCGAAAGCCGGAUUAAUACCGCAUACGACCUGAGGGAGAAAGCGGGGGAUCUUCGGACCUCGCGCUAUAGGGGCGGCCGAUGGCAGAUUAGCUAGUUGGUGGGGUAAAGGCCUACCAAGGCGACGAUCUGUAGCUGGUCUGAGAGGACGACCAGCCACACUGGGACUGAGACACGGCCCAGACUCCUACGGGAGGCAGCAGUGGGGAAUUUUGGACAAUGGGGGCAACCCUGAUCCAGCAAUGCCGCGUGUGUGAAGAAGGCCUUCGGGUUGUAAAGCACUUUUGUCCGGAAAGAAAACCAUUGCCCUAAUAUGGUGGUGGGAUGACGGUACCGGAAGAAUAAGCACCGGCUAACUACGUGCCAGCAGCCGCCGUAAAAC